rnacentral:rRNA from 1 species
CCCUUAGAUGUUCUGGGCCGCACACGCGCUACACUGAAGGAGGCAGCGUGUACUCCUGGAUCGAAAGAUUUGGGUAACCCGCGAAUCUCCUUCGUGCUAGGGAUUGAGGUUUGCAAUUAUCCUUCAUGAACGAGGAAUUCCCAGUAAGUGCAAGUCAUAAGCUUGCGCUGACUACGUCCCUGCCCUUUGUACACACCGCCCGUCGCUACUACCGAUUGAGUGAUCCGGUGAAUAAUUCGGACUGCAGCACUGCUUGGUCUCCAGGCUUUGCAGCGGAAAGUUUAGUGAACCUUAUCACUUAGAGGAAGGAGAANUCGUANCA